CCAGCGCGUCGAGCUCUACCUUUCUAUCCGAACAAUUUCACUGGUUCAAGUUAGCUUCCGGAACUUGUGGGCUCAAGCUAUUGAGCAUAUGGGUAUGAUGCAGGUCGAGAGGCUCCUCGCUAGACGUCUGGAUCCUAGGAAGCGAAGUAGUCCUUGGGUGUAUUUUGGUUUCUGUUUGUACAUAUGUAUAUAUAUGUUUAGCUUACUCUCCAAGUAACUUAUGUACGCUGCUCUUCUUAGAGGUUGAGGGAGAGAUAGGAGUUUACUUUGGUAUU